CAGGUCUUGACAUCCCAUCGGAUAAAGGGUAAUGCCUUUAGGCCUUCGGGACGAUGGAGACAGGUGGUGCAUGGUUGUCGUCAGCUCGUGUCGUGAGAUGUUGGGUUAAGUCCCGCAACGAGCGCAACCCUUAUCUUCAGUAGCCAGCGGGCAAAGCCGGGCACUCAGGAGAGACUGCCAGGGAUAACCCGGAGGAAGGUGGGGAUGACGUCAAAUCAUCAUGCCCCUUAUGAUCUGGGCUACACACGUGCUACAAUGGCGUAAACAGAGGGAAGCGAACCCGCGAGGGGGAGCAAAUCCCAAAAAUAACGUCCCAGUUCGGAUUGUAGUCUGCAACCCGACUACAUGAAGCCGGAAUCGCUAGUAAUCGCGGAUCAGAAUGCCGCGGUGAAUACGUUCCC
rnacentral:rRNA from 1 species